CAAUUGCCCCAAGGAUUACAUUGCAGCCCGUUUCGUGGCUGCCCGCUGAAGCGUUCUCGCUCAAUACUGGACCAGUUUCAAAAAUUUAUGUCCCCAUUAAUCACUAAGAUCCAAAAUGAUGGGAAAAUAGGGUCUCGGUUUAAAAAUACCGGAUGUUUCCCUUUAACAGACUUGAUCUCUGUCAUUAUAAUUGUCUUGUAAUAGUCUUAUCAGAGAUUUCUAUCAAAGUUAAUAUAUCUCAUCUUGUCUCUGUCCUCCUUCUUUCUGUCUAGGCCCAAAAUGACUCUUAAGCAUGCCCAGGCUGAGCUGAAGACCAGGCAGGCGGAGAUGAAAAAUAUGGACAGUGGCGGCAAGACGGAUCAGGACUCCCUGCAGGCUGCAGACUCAGCUAUCAAGAUGUGAAGGAGGAGAGACUACUGGACCAAAGAAGACAGCCAACCAUGCAGAAACUGCAAGAGGAACGAUCAUCAUACCUGGAGUACCAGAGACUGAUGCGUGAGAUCCAGCAUUUGUCACAGCUGAGGAGGUCCAGAGAGUAAUGGAGACCAUG